rnacentral:lncRNA from 1 species
GCUGGCUGCUGCUCGGCAGAUGGAAAUUUUCCAGGCUGCCAGAAGAAAAGGGGGGGGAAAAAAAAGGAAGCCCGGAAGAAAACGAAGGCAUGCCUGCUGCCCCGGGGGAUCCGACGUAUGUGAAAAGGAAUGUACAACUCCAAGUGCACUUGCCUCGCGUGCCUUCCCAACCCCACAGAUGCAGGCAGGACCGAAGGCUGUUAAUCCUAAAUCACAGUGUGAACAGCGAAUGAGACGCUGGAGUGCAUCUUGUCCAAUGUGCUGCUUUACGUCUGGGCUGAAAAUGCAGAGCCGGAGUGGAGGAUCCUUUCCACAUGCUGCAGCAUCCAUAAGCAGGCUCUGGGCAGGUGGGAAGGAGACCCAGCUGUUCCACAAGACAUCUCUGAAGGGGCUGAUAACCAAUAUUCCUGGCACACUGGAGACAUGGAUCCCUGGUCUUAAUUUCAGGGAAGCCAAGACCAGAAGACCAGCAAUGAGGGUCAGCAUUAAUACCCUGUGCAAGUCAUCAGGACCAGCUCUGAACUCAGCAGUUCUUCUAAGACAUGUGUCUGUUCAUCUGCCCUCCUCGUUCCCAGCGAGCACCCAAAGGACACAUUAAAUAUAACCUCAGACUCUGGUACAGAAAUACAUCACGAAACAUGACCCUCAGGUCAGUCAAAUAAGUCUCAUUGCAAUUCCCAUUGCACUGAUUCGUAUUAGAAAGUAUUUCCCUUUUAUUGAAAAGACUCCAUGAAUGCCAGCUCCAGGAAGAAAAAGAGCCCAAAGCACGAGUACCAGCCAAGUCCUGCUGAGCUCUGCAGCCCAUGGUGACAGGUCACCCAUGAUGACAGGUCACCCAUGGUGUCGGGUGUGUCUUUGCUAUUGUGUCCCGUGUCCAGCCGGGGCUGUGGUUCCCCCCAUUGGCAGCUCUCUUAGGGAUCGGCUGUACGGUGCCACAGGAGCCAGUGACUGGAAAACCCAUUUUUGAAUUCUCAGCUUCGGCUUGGUCUCUGAGGGAAGCCCGCAGGGUGGUUCCUGCAGGAAGGAGUAGUGCUGCCCACAGGCAGGAGCAGCUCAGGUAUC